rnacentral:tRNA from 2 species
UGUAGGUGGGGUGAAUUAUAGUUAAUUUGCAAUUAGCUUUUGGUUGAAGAU